GCCCCUGUAGUCCAACUGGGAGAGACCGGGGUCUUAAAAACCUCGUCAGUGUGGGUUCGAGCCCCACCGGGGGCA
rnacentral:tRNA from 1 species